AUGGCGUGCAGGGUGGUGGGAGCUGGGCCUGGGGUCUGGUUCUAGAAGCAUCAGGGCUGGAGGGCCUUAGACAGUUACGAGGAAGGGUCGUCUACCAGGCCUCGGUGAGGGAAGUGAGCCCCCACCUUCCAGUCACUGGGAGAGGACUGAAGAAGCAGCCAUCCCCCAAGCAUCUCCAUCCUCAAACCACACAGAGCUCCCGCCCAGGCACUGAGAGGGCCCUGGGGUUCCACCAGUGGCCCCCGCUUGGAUGCGCCCUCGGGAGAGUGGGCUCAGCACAGCCUAGAGCACCAGGUCUGAGGUAUCUGCAACCACGUGGGAGCCAGGCCCCUGGACAAUGAAGGACAAUCUCCUGGAGCAGCAAUAACUUAUAAGGAGACAUAAUUUAGAGUAGCUGGAGCCUUGGGGAUGACUUUAUCCAUGCAGGAGGAGGCGGCUGAGAGCAGACGGGACACGGGGGCCCCUAAGAAGCAAGGUUGGGAAAUGAGGAGGCUGUUUCCCAAUGCCCCUGCCGGCCACCAGAGGGCCCUUCAGUGCAGAGAUGGUCGGCGCGGCCUCACCGCGGUCAGGAGCAGCGCGAAACCCCCUGUGCCCUCGGCCGCCUGCAGCAUGAGCCUGCACAGGAGCCCCCGACACCCCAUGGCUCCGGGGGGCCCCAGGGGCUGCGGGGCUCUGGUCUUAGACGCAGUUAUCAGGGACGCACUCAGC
rnacentral:lncRNA from 1 species